rnacentral:misc_RNA from 1 species
AUCCCAGUUAUACUUGAUCUUAUUUGAUGGUGGCAUGUGCUUUUGCUGUCUCUCUUUAUUAGGGUAAAGCAAGCACCUUUAGCUCACCAAAUGAUAUGAAAACAAGUUUGAGUCCACUUUAGGACAAUGAUAUCUUUGCCUUGUUUUUUAAUUCCUUAUAUAAAUCAGGGAAUGAUGACAAGAAGGUAAUGCACUUGAGCUUCCAUUAAAGAAGCCAUGAUAGUCAUUAAUUCUUCACUUUGACCUGACCCUGAUUAAAUUUACCGUCUAAUAGUCAUAUUGAUGAAGCACAAUCAAGUUAUGCAAAACCACUGGAUCUUGUCAUAGUCAUCAUACUGGGCUCAUUCUUAGCUAUUGGAUUGACAAUAGAUUACAUUCAAACAUUCUACGGCUCAAUACAAAGUGAAGACGAUAUUGUUUAUGGGGUGUGGCCCCCUCCGCCAGUGUUGAAGUCUUAUGCAUGGUGGUGUUCAAAUGUCGAUACACUCUUGGCAGUUAAUCCAUCUUGGUAUAGCGUAAUGGCUGCUUUUAGCCCUUUUAUAUAUUGUCCUUUCUAUGUAGCAGCUAUUUAUGCUUUCAUAUUUGAAAAGGAAUGGAUUAGGAUUCCAGCAUUAAUGUGGGGAUGGGGUCUUCUUCUCACUAUGAUCAUUGUAGCUCAUGAGCAGCUGUAUGGACCACAUCCAGCAAAAGAUGUGACUCUGUUCUUUAUUGCUUAUGGGGCAUAUGCUGUAAUGCCAUUGGUCAUAAUGGGACGCGUUGCUAUGACACCACUGUUUCCAAAAUUAACACAAAUCAAGCCACCCAGCCCACAACAACGGUCUGGUGGUAAAAAGAAAAAGAAUUAAAUGAAUUUACUUUUUUGAUAAUGAUUUUUGAGCUGAUUAGAGAAUUGAUUGAUUAUAUAAUGUUUGUCCAAGCUUA